rnacentral:sRNA from 1 species
UAGAAAGUGUUCCCACGCGUUUCGAAUA